rnacentral:sRNA from 1 species
GCUGGGCAUGGCAUCUCACUCCUGUAAUCUCAGCAACUCAGGAGGCUGAGACAGGAGGAUCACCAAUUCGAGGCCAGGCUCAGCAACAUAGUGAGAGCCUGUCUCAA